rnacentral:rRNA from 1 species
ACGAAGGGUGCAAGCGUUACUCGGAAUUACUGGGCGUAAAGCGUGCGUAGGCGGUCUGUUAAGUCUGAUGUGAAAUCCCCGGGCUCAACCUGGGACCUGCAUUGGAUACUGGCGGGCUAGAGUACGGUAGAGGGUGGUGGAAUUCCCGGUGUAGCAGUGAAAUGCGUAGAGAUCGGGAGGAACACUCGUGGCGAAGGCGGCCACCUGGACCGGUACUGACGCUGAGGCACGAAAGCGUGGGGAGCAAACAGGAUUAGAUACCCUGGUAGUCCACGCCCUAAACGAUGCGAACUGGAUGUUGGGCUCACUUCGGAGCUCAGUAUCGAAGCUAACGCGUUAAGUUCGCCGCCUGGGGAGUACGGUCGCAAGACUG